rnacentral:rRNA from 1 species
CAUUUGUUUUUUGGGUUUUUUUGAGGCGGGGCUAUACAUGCAAAGUCGAGCGGACAGAUGGGAGCUUGCUCCCUGAUGUUAGCGGCGGACGGGUGAGUAACACGUGGGUAACCUGCCUGUAAGACUGGGAUAACUCCGGGAAACCGGGGCUAAUACCGGAUGCUUGAUUGAACCGCAUGGUUCAAUUAUAAAAGGUGGCUUUUAGCUACCACUUACAGAUGGACCCGCGGCGCAUUAGCUAGUUGGUGAGGUAACGGCUCACCAAGGCAACGAUGCGUAGCCGACCUGAGAGGGUGAUCGGCCACACUGGGACUGAGACACGGCCCAGACUCCUACGGGAGGCAGCAGUAGGGAAUCUUCCGCAAUGGACGAAAGUCUGACGGAGCAACGCCGCGUGAGUGAUGAAGGUUUUCGGAUCGUAAAACUCUGUUGUUAGGGAAGAACAAGUACCGUUCGAAUAGGGCGGUACCUUGACGGUACCUAACCAGAAAGCCACGGCUAACUACGUGCCAGCAGCCGCGGUAAUACGUAUGUGGCAAGCGUUGUCCGGAAUUAUUGGGCGUAAAGCGCGCGCAGGCGGUUUCUUAAGUCUGAUGUGAAAGCCCCCGGCUCAACCGGGGAGGGUCAUUGGAAACUGGGGGAACUUGAGUGCAGAAGAGGAGAGUGGAAUUCCACGUGUAGCGGUGAAAUGCGUAGAGAUGGUGGAGGAACAGCCAGUGGCGAAAGCGACUCUCUGGGUCUGUAACUGACGCUGAGCGCGAAGCGUGGGGGAGCGACAGGAUUAGAUACCCUGCUAGUCCACGCCGUAAACGAUGAGUGCUAGUGUUGAGAGGGCUUUCCGGCCCUUAGUGCUGCAAGCAAACGCAAUAAGCACUUGCAGCCUUGGCGGAGUACGGUCGCAGGACCUGGAACUCAACGGUAAUGGACCGGGGCCGCCACAGCUGUGCGACAUGUGCUUUAAUCGAUCAGCCCAGAUCUUACCAGCUCUGACGAUC